rnacentral:rRNA from 1 species
GACGAACGCUGGCGGCGUGCCUAAUACAUGCAAGUAGAACGCAGUUGCGAACGGGUGAGUAAUGCGUAGGUCACUGCCUCAUAGCGGGGGAUAACUAUUGGUAACGAUAGCUAAUACCGCAUACUGUGACAUGGACCUGCGUUGUAUUAGCUAGUUGGUGAGGUAAAGGCUCACCAAGGCGACGAUACAUAGCCGACCUAAGCGGGUGAACGGCUAAACUUGGAAUGAGGAACGGCCCAGACUUCUAAGGGAGGGAGGAGGAGGGAAGCUUUGGACAUGGACGGAAGUCCGACCGAGCAACGGCGAGGUGGUGGAGAAGGUUUUUGGAUCGUAAAGCUAUGUUGUUAGAGAAGCGGUAACUACCCAGAAAGGACCGGCUAACUACGUGCCAGCAGCCGCGGUAAUUC